GCAGACUUGACAGGUGCACCCCGCAUCUCGUCAACAGUCUGCAUGUGCCGUCUCCGUGCAUCUUUGAGAAGCUUUGUCGCUGUGAGACUGACUGUGGGAGAUCUAACAUCAUCUCUGUAUUAUCAGGUACAUGUUGUAUAUUUUUAUAUUUGUAUUAAUGUUAGCUUGUGUGUAAAUAACUUGUGAACAGUCUGCAUGUGCCGUCUCCGUGCAUCUUUGAGAAGCUUUGUCGCUGUGAGACUGACUGUGGGAGAUCUAACAUCAUCUCUGUAUUAUCAGAAUAAAUGGCGAGUUGGAGCCAAAAGUGACGGUGUGUGGACAUCAUUAAUAACACAACGCAAAGAGAGAGUACACAACUGCUACACAGGGAACUGGUGUUGUCCCUGCUCCAGCUGCUGUCCAGGCCCUCCUUCCAGCAAAAGGACUGUCCUCUGUACAUUUGGGAAAAUAAAUUCUUUUGCAUAUAUUGUUAAA